rnacentral:rRNA from 1 species
AUUGAACGCUGGCGGCAUGCCUUACACAUGCAAGUCGAACGGUAACAGGUCUUCGGAUGCUGACGAGUGGCGAACGGGUGAGUAAUACAUCGGAACGUGCCUAGUAGUGGGGGAUAACCACUCGAAAGAGUGGCUAAUACCGCAUGAGAUCUACGGAUGAAAGCAGGGGAUCGCAAGACCUUGUGCUACUAGAGCGGCCGAUGGCAGAUUAGGUAGUUGGUGGGAUGAAAGCUUACCAAGCCGACGAUCUGUAGCUGGUCUGAGAGGACGAUCAGCAACACUGGGACUGAGACACGGCCCAGACUCCUACGGGAGGCAGCAGUGGGGAAUUUUGGACAAUGGGCGAAAGCCUGAUCCAGCAAUACCGCGUGCAGGAUGAAGGCCUUCGGGUUGUAAACUGCUUUUGUACGGAACGAAAAGCCCCGGGUUAAUACCCUGGGGUCAUGACGGUACCGUAAGAAUAAGCACCGGCUAACUACGUGCCAGCCGCCGCGGUAA